AGAAAAUAGUUUAAUUGGUAGAAGAAUAAUUUUAUGAAUUAAAAGUGAUAAUUCGAGUUUAUCUUUCGACUA
rnacentral:tRNA from 1 species